CAGCGGCUGCGGACAGCUCGAGGAUCCCGAGGUUUGGGAGCAUCCCGGGGGUGUUGGAGCAUCCCGGGAGUGUCGAAGCACCCCGGAGGAUUUGGAGCAUCCCGGGGGCUUUGGAACAUCCCGGAGAGGGAAAGAUAUCCGAGCAUCCUGAAGCUUUUGGAGCAUCCCAGGACCCUGGAGCAUCCUGGGGUCUUGGAUCAUGUCAGGGGCUCAGAAUAUCCCGGGGGCUUGGGCAUCCUGAAGGCCUUGGAGCAUCCCAGGGCUUUUUGAGCAUCCUGGGGCUCUGGAGCAUCCAGGGAGACUUCAGAGUACCCCAGGGGCUUUGGAACAUUCCAGGGACAGGGGUCAUGGAGCAUCCUGAGGCUUUGGGGGGCUUUGGAGCAUCUUGGGAUCCUCAGAGCAUCCCGGGGCUUUGCAGUAUCCUGGGGGAAUCAGAGCAUCCUGGGGUGCUCAGACCCUGAGCCCUGUGGGAGACCCUCAGAGCAUCCCAGGGCCCUCUGAGCACCCCAAGCUCCUGGGAGCACCCCGGACUCCUGGGAACACCCCGGACUCCCGGGAACACCCCGGACUCCCGGGAACACCCUGGACUCCUGGGAACACCCCAAACUCCGGGGAACACCCCUCCAGCUCAUGUGUGGCCCUGAGGAGCAGCCCAAGCUCCUUGGACCCUCCAAGAUCCUGAGAGACCCCCAAACUCCUGGGAGCCCCUGGAGCCCUUUGGAGCAUCUGGAGCUCUCUGGAGCACUCCAGGGAGUGCCUGAGCUGGCCCAGCUCCCAGCUCCCACUGACAGCACCCACUGCCGGGGUGGUGCCCCCCAUUCCUGCUCCCCCAGCCCCCAGGAAGGACUGGAAGGUGCAGGAAGGAGUUUCCUAAACCCCCAGAGCUUCCAAAGCCUCUGUUUUUCAUUACAAUAAAACCAGACACCUCCCCCUUGCACUCUGCAGUGCAAGGACUCCUAAAAACCUGUGAUUUACAGGAAGAAUCACCCCAAGGACUGCAGGGGCUGGAAAAGCCCAUCAUGGUGGGGAGUGCAACCACAAUUUCCAGCAUGGGGCUGUGAGGAACUUGCAAUUCCAUGGGGAACUUCCCAUCCCAGUGGGGUCCUGCCCUCUGUUAACCCCACCCUGGAGGACACAGGGUCCCCUGAAUGCCGCUGGACCCCAAAUCUAAGGGCCUGGCGGGGGGAGCGGGGGAAGCCGGACAUGAGCCGGACAUGAGCCGGACAUUCCGGCCCUGUUCUUCCCUCUCCCUGCUGAAAACCUCCUGGAGCAGCCCCGGGUGGGCCUCAGCCCCCACGCAGCACCCCCAGCCCCAGCUGUCCCGCUGCCCCGGGGCUUUGGGAUGUCCCUGGAGCCGGGCCAGCCGAGCAUCGCGGGUGCCACCCCACGCAUCGAUCCUGGCCCCUCAUGGAUGAGACCCCCGGCCCCCGCCAGCUGCGGGGCCCAGCACCCCUCUGACACCGCCAGGAAAAGCUGUGACAGCUCCGUGGGCUUUGUCUGAGAGAUCCUUGGAGUUUUCUUGGGAGAAAUCAGGGAGUGGUGACAGCACCCUGCUCCUGUUCUGCCUCGCCGCUGCCCCGGCUGUGCUGAGCCAUCCAGAGCCGCAGCGGGAUGUGGAGAUGCCUGAGCCGGAUCCCUGGGACAGCUGGUUUGUGUAUUCAGCGUUUUCUGGAGGGUUCAUUGUGGGGGGAACGGGGCUGCCUCUGCUCUGUGUCUGCCCUGUCACAGCUCUUGUCACACAGCGACAGUGGGAGCUGGCACCAGGGUGAAAUACAACCCCCAAAUUCAAUAUUUGA